UACGAAGGGGGCUAGCGUUGUUCGGAAUCACUGGGCGUAAAGCGCACGUAGGCGGCUUUGUAAGUUAGAGGUGAAAGCCCGGAGCUCAACUCCGGAAUUGCCUUUAAGACUGCAUCGCUUGAAUCCAGGAGAGGUGAGUGGAAUUCCGAGUGUAGAGGUGAAAUUCGUAGAUAUUCGGAAGAACACCAGUGGCGAAGGCGGCUCACUGGACUGGUAUUGACGCUGAGGUGCGAAAGCGUGGGGAGCAAACAGG
rnacentral:rRNA from 1 species